CCGUAGGCGGUUUAGUAAGUCAGUGGUGAAAGCCCAUCGCUCAACGGUGGAACGGCCAUUGAUACUGCUAGACUUGAAUUAUUAGGAAGUAACUAGAAUAUGUAGUGUAGCGGUGAAAUGCUUAGAGAUUACAUGGAAUACCAAUUGCGAAGGCAGGUUACUACUAAUGUAUUGACGCUGAUGGACGAAAGCGUGGGUAGCGAACAGGAUUAGAUACCCUGGUAGUCCACGCCGUAAACGAUGGAUACUAGCUGUUGGGAGCAAUCUCAGUGGCUAAGCGAAAGUGAUAAGUAUCCCACCUGGGGAGUACGUUCGCAAGAAUGAAACUCAAAGGAAUUGACGGGGGCCCGCACAAGCGGUGGAGCAUGUGGUUUAAUUCGAUGAUACGCGAGGAACCUUACCAAGGCUUAAAUGUAGAUUGACCGGUUUGGAAACAGACCCUUCGCAAGACAAUUUACAAGGUGCUGCAUGGUUGUCGUCAGCUCGUGCCGUGAGGUGUCAGGUUAAGUCCUAUAACGAGCGCAACCCCUGUUGUUAGUUGCCAGCGAGUCAUGUCGGGAACUCUAACAAGACUGCCAGUGCAAACUGUGAGGAAGGUGGGGAUGACGUCAAAUCAUCACG
rnacentral:rRNA from 1 species